rnacentral:tRNA from 1 species
GCACCGCUAGCUCAACGGCAGAGCAACUGACUCUUAAUCAGUGGGUUCUGGGUUCGAAUCCCAGGCGGUGUA